rnacentral:rRNA from 1 species
AUUUGGNGCACAUGAGGANNUUGCCAUGGAGGAAACUCUGAUGCAGCCUGCCGCGUGCAGGAUGAAUGCCCUAUGGGUUGUAAACUGCUUUUCUAGCAAGAAGAAACCUUAGUACGUGUACUAAGCUGACGGUAUUGNAGGAAUAAGCACCGGCUAACUCCGUGCCAGCAGCCGCGGUAAUAU